UACGUAGGGUGCGAGCGUUGUCCGGAAUUAUUGGGCGUAAAGAGCUCGUAGGCGGUUUGUUGCGUCGGCCGUGAAAACCUGCAGCUUAACUGUGGGCUUGCGGUCGAUACGGGCAUCACUGGAGUUCGGCAGGGGAGACUGGAAUUCCUGGUGUAGCGGUGAAAUGCGCAGAUAUCAGGAGGAACACCGGUGGCGAAGGCGGGUCUCUGGGCCGAUACUGACGCUGAGGAGCGAAAGCGUGGGGAGCGAACAGG
rnacentral:rRNA from 1 species